UGACGAGGAUGAGAACCUCCGGGGGCAAGAGGUUCGACCCGAGCGAAGCGAGAGAACGUUGCGUCAGCAACGGCCCGCAGGGCGAGCCAUCCUCUAUCACCGGCAG
rnacentral:sRNA from 1 species